GUAUGUCGUACUUUUUAAAACAUAUAUUAUACAAUUACAAAAAUCGUGAAAACAAAACUUUGAAUCUUCUGCAGCCUCUUUUGAAUAAUAUCAUAAAUAAAAAACAGACAACAUGGACUUGCAUUAUCUAAGAACAACCAGCUAUGAUUGCAACUACGAUAAAGUGCUUUUCCAAUUGUUCAUCAGCCUCUAUUUCUGUGGAUUCAUCCUUCCAAUAAUAAAAGGUUUGCCCGCAAUCACUUAACCACUUACGAUUUAGAUUACUCCACUCCUACUUAAAAAUCUAAUAC
rnacentral:lncRNA from 1 species